rnacentral:lncRNA from 1 species
UUUCCCGCAGGCCAGAGACAGAGUCACGCUAUGAGGAACUCCAAGGACGGACCCAGGAUAUUUACAGCCAGUUGGACUCUCCCCAAGCUGGUUUCCACUGAGCUCUGCUGAAAUCCCAACCAGCUGGGACCCCCG